ensembl:lncRNA
CAGACUCCCUGCAGCUGACAGGAGGAGAGAGGAAACACACACACACGGUCCAAACACAGGAGGAGGACGAAUCCGUUCAUCAAGGUUACGCACCUCGUUCCUCAGCGGUAACCCAGUGAUGAACCCAGACUUCCAGAGAGUCGCUCUUGGGUACCACUCUUUAGAUCAGGAUCUCACGCUGACCUUCACGGAACUCAUCUCUCCCUCUUGCCCUAUGAUGGUUGGCAAGGGAAAUUGAGACGAAGUGAUGCGAGAAAGGUGGCUCUAUCUGAAAUACAGAAAAUCAGCUGAAGAGGCACGGGGAACCUGGAGCCGAUCCUGGGGGACUCAGGGCACAAGGCGCAGGACAAUCUGGACAGGGUUCCAACCCAUCGCUGGGAACAUCAUUUAUGCACUACAGACAAUUUGGGAAUUCCGAUCAGCCUACAUUGCAUGUCUUUGAACUGUGGGAGGAAACCAGAGUACGCGGAGGAAACCCCUGAAGCACGCUGAGAACAUGCAAACUCUGCACACACAGGGUGGAGGCGGGAUCGAACACCGAACCCCAGAAGUGCGAGGAAAACGUGCUAACCGCUAAACCACCGUGCUGCCCUUGUGCAGUGCAUGUGACUGAUUAUUUUUAUACACAGACAAGGC